rnacentral:rRNA from 1 species
UACGUAGGGUGCAAGCGUUAAUCGGAAUUACUGGGCGUAAAGCGUGCGCAGGCGGUUUUGUAAGUCUGUCGUGAAAUCCCCGGGCUCAACCUGGGAAUUGCGAUGGAGACUGCAAGGCUAGAAUCUGGCAGAGGGGGGUAGAAUUCCACGUGUAGCAGUGAAAUGCGUAGAGAUGUGGAGGAAUACCGAUGGCGAAGGCAGCCUCCUGGGCCAACACUGACGCUCAUGCACGAAAGUGUGGGGAGCAAACAGG